rnacentral:misc_RNA from 1 species
GGAAGGAUCAUUAACACUGAGUGCGGGGGCUUUCGGGCCCCUCAACCACAACCCCCACAACAACAUGUGAACUAGCCUGACCGUUUCCGGGCGUGCGCCGCGCGCGCGCGCUUGGCAUUUUUCAACCACAUAACACACACACAAACAACAACUAAAGCUUGAUAUACAAAACAAAAUUACAACUCUUAGCAAUGGAUAUCUUGGUUCCCACAACGAUGAAGAACGCAGCGAAAUGCGAUACGUAAUGCGAAUUGCAGAAUUCAGUGAAUCAUCAAAUCUUUGAACGCAAGUUGCGCUCUCGAGAUAUCCUUGAGAGCAUGCCUCUUUGAGUGUCGGUUUCUAAAUGUUCGCCCUCGUUUGCGCGCGGGUGAGAUACUGAGUCUUGGGCAGCGCGCCCCAUGUCUCUAAGCCAUGAACGAAAACCUCGAUCUUGACUUCACGUCGGGGGCCACCUCUUGAAAAUCAGGUGCCGCGUCCGCGUCUCGAUCGCAACCAACACAAGAUCUCAAAUGAGGUAAGACUACCCGCCGAAUUUAAGCAUAUAAUUAAGCGGAGGAAAAGAAACUAACUAGGAUUCCCUCAGUAACGGCGAGUGAAGCGGGAAGAGCUCAAACCGAAAAUCACCGUCCUCGUGGCGGCGAAUUGUGGUCUAUUGAAGCGUGUCUCAGUGUCCAGUCCCGGCCUAAAUCAAUUGGAACAUUGUAUCAGAGAGGGUGAGAAUCCCGUCUUUGGCUGGGGUCCUGGCGCGUUCGAGCCGUUCUCAAAGAGUCGGGUUGCUUGGGAGUGCAGCCCUAAGUGGGUGGUAAAUUUCAUCUAAAGCUAAAUACAUGUGGGAGACCGAUAGCGAACAAGUACCGUGAGGGAAAGAUGAAAAGAACUUUGAAAAGAGAGUUAAAAAGUACUUGAAAUUGCUGAGAACGAAGGGAUGGCGACUAGUAAUGGCUCUGGGCGAUACUUACUAUUCGGCGCGUGGUCGCCCGCCUGCACCAAUUGACUUGACGUCUUUGGCGCGGGGUGGGCGUGCCGCGGGUCGUGUGGGUCCUGUCGUCUGGGCCGAGGUCAGAAUGGGUUCGCUUCGGUGGAGAAAGCCCCAGGGAAGGUAGCUUGGGCCUCACGGCUCUCGAACAUAUAGCCCUGGUGUGUUUGCAUCGUCGUGGACCGAGGUGUCGAAACAUGCGCUGUCAAAGCUCUUGGUGCAGUCUCCGCUGUGUUGGGGUCGGCGUUGGGGAACAAAGUUCCGUCUCGUUUGGCGUCGCGCACCCGGGGACCUGCUCAUUUGUCAUGUUCGCGAUUCUGACGAAAUGGUCGUCAUUCACCCGUCUUGAAACACGGACCAAGGAGUCUUACAUAUAUGCGAGUAAUCAAGUGGAAAACUUGCUUGCGCAAUGAAGGUGAAUGAAUGUGAUGCUCGUCGCAAGGCGGGCAGCAACAUCGGGCGGCUAAAAUAACUGUACGACCAUGAGCAUAUCUGUAGGGACCCGAAAGAUGGUGAACUAUGCUUGAGCAGGAUGAAGCCAGGGGAAACUCUGGUGGAAGUCCGAAGCGAUACUGACGUGCAAAUCGUUCGUCUGACUUGAGUAUAGGGGCGAAAGACUAAUCGAACUAUCUAGUAGCUGGUUCCCUC